GCCUCAUAGCUAGCCCGCCCUUCCAACAACAACAAGUCCCUAUCAAUACCCCCAAACACACGGAACCUCCCUGCAAAACAAACCAUUUUUCCCCUUUAGUAUGAGCGACAGAAAAAGACCCACGGAGCAAUAGAAACAGUACCGCAAGGGAACGCUGAAAGAGAAAAUGAAAUAACCCAGCAAAGCCUAAAAAAGCAGAGAUUUAAACUCG
rnacentral:rRNA from 1 species